GUGGAUUAUUGUGACUGAUCUAUCGUAAUGACUGAUUACAAAAGCAUAAAGAAUGGUUUUCAAGAUUGUGCAGACAAUUGAGAAGGGAGGAUAUGUUUUAUGGACCGAGACACCAGGCCCCCGAUUUCUUCAGUUGUUUUCUGUGGAACAACGGAACCACUUGACGUUUCGGCCAUCGCACUUGACGAAUUUUGAGACAAAUACUUUGUUUGAACCUUAGUUUGAAUUUUUCCGUAUCUUUGUUUUAAUUUUCUUUUUUAAUUUCCAUGACUUGUAAUCCAUUUUAUCACGUAAUAAAAAAAUGAAUGUGCAA